UUUCAGCCCUGCAGACUCAUUUUUACCAAGCUGGAAUGAUUCAGUGUUAAUCAUGUUUUCUAAAGGAGGAAGAAAAGCAAACCUGGUGUUUGCUGUGAAUUGGUGAAGAUUAAAUUACUCGACACAAACUCAGGAUUACUUUGGGCAGCAAGAUGUAGAGGGAGGCACAGGUCUGCUCAACAGUAGCUUUGCUAUUGGAACUUUUCAAUGAGAUCAAAUUCAGGAAAGGAGACAAAGAUGACUUCUACUAUUUGCAUUAAAGUGACUGCUGUGAGUCCCCAAAAAUUACAGAAACUGAUUCAUAUUCUUUGGAUACUCCUCAGUGAAACUGAGUGAUGAUACCAGCAGAUUAAUAAUGCAAGUUAAGAAACAAAGAACAACCUUCCCCUGGUGUGUGAAAUGUCUGUUACUUGAGAGAAGUUCAGGAUCUUCUUGAGAAGUGCCGCCUCUGAAAGGUCCUUUUUGCUGAAUAAGACAUUAUUAUUCAGGGGAUAUUCUUUAUUUCUUCUCUGCUAACUUAUUCCUGUAAAUUUUAAAUCAACAUCUAACAAUUUUUUUUUUGUAAUAUAUAACUUCUAUUCAAAGAAAAAAUUUUUUUGGAGGUGUGUUAAAAUUAUUACAGUAGUUGAAAGAUGGGUUACUGGUGAUUUAUAGGUGAUUUGAGCACUGAAUGAGCUGCUGUUUGCUCUCACAUCAUGCCAAGACUUUUCACUCUCCUUUCCAAAAGAGGUUGUUCUGCUUUUCAUUGUGCCACAGAGUAAUGUCAAGUUAUUAAGCGUCACUUGACACAAUGGAAUACAUAUUUUAAAGAAAAAAGAACACAAAUAUACCUUUUUUGGUAAAAAAAAAAAA